CUCAGAAAUUAGGGUCAAUCUCCUCGUAUACGCACUUUGUUUAAGCAACCCCUGCGGCAAGCAAACAGUCAGAUAAUAGUGGAAUGGUGGAGCGGUGGCAACUGUAACCCGUUUGUCGAGCAAUGAGUUCCUCCCUUCUUCCUGAAUCGGAUAUAAAUUCACUCGUGUGAAUUCUAUUUGUACCCGAUAAAACAUUCCACGCGUUAUUCAACCAUUUUUUUUAAUCUCACACGGUUGACAAACAAACCCUCUCAUUUUCAUAAAGUCACCCUAACCCUCUCUAGCCAAACUUCAUAACCCCCUCUGAGAGAAUCAUUUUCUCAUCUUUUUAAUUAACAAUUCAGGCGUAUGACAGCUGAUUUAAGACACUAGUGGCUGUGCUUUUGGGCUUCGGUCGGAAAUUUUCACAAACACCAGUAAAAUGCACGCCAAGACGGAUUCCGAAGUCACCAGUCUAGCACCAUCGUCUCCCACCAGAUCUCCACGCCGCCCGGUCUAUUAUGUACAGAGCCCAUCACGGGACUCUCACGAUGGGGAGAAAACGACGAUGUCUUUCCAUUCCACGCCGGUGCUUAGCCCUGCGGGAUCUCCACCUCAUUCUCACUCCUCUGUUGGCCGCCACUCGCGUGAGUCCUCUACCAGCAGGUUUUCUGGGUCGUUGAAACCGGGAUCCCGGAAGAUUUCUCCCAAUGAUGCGUCGAAAGGCGGGCAGAAAAAGGGACAGAAGCAAUGGAAAGACUGUGUGAUGAUUGAAGAAGAAGGACUUCUCGAAGAUGACGAGCGUGAAAGGGGUCUACCUCGUCGCUGCUACUUUCUUAUUUUUGUGUCGGGUUUCUUUGUUCUCUUCUCUAUGUUCUCUUUAAUUCUCUGGGGUGCCAGCAGGCCACAGAAGCCCAAGAUCACGAUGAAGGUACUUACUCUUAUCACAAUCUAAUAUUAAAUAUGAAAUUUCUCAUGAUUUCUUCUGAUUUUGCUUCAUUUGUUUGCAGAGUAUAACUUUUGAGCAUUUCAGCAUUCAAGCCGGCUCAGAUUACACAGGAGUGGCAACUGAUAUGAUCACAGUGAACUCCACAGUGAAGAUGAUCUAUCGCAACACUGGAACAUUUUUCGGAGUCCAUGUAACGUCUACACCUGUAGAUCUAUCCUAUUCUGAGAUCACCAUAGCCUCAGGAAAUCUAAAGAAAUUUUACCAAUCAAGGAAAAGCCAAAGAUCAGUAGCAAUAUCUGUAAUGGGCAAUAAAAUCCCUCUAUAUGGAAGUGGAGCAGGUCUGAGCAGCUCAACGGGAACGGCUACACUACCAGUGCCGCUAAAACUGAACUUCAUUGUCAGAUCAAGAGCUUACGUUUUGGGAAAACUGGUUAAGCCAAAAUUCUACAAGAGAAUCGAAUGUGAUGUUACUUUUGAUACAAAGAAGCUCAAUGUUCCAAUGUCACUCAAGAAUUCUUGCACAUAUGAUUGAUUGAUGAUAUGAACAGAGCAGAGCAGCCGCAUCAAGAUGAUGAAUUUUACAUAUUUAAUUUCCCCUUUAAUUCAUUGUUUGUUUCUUUUCGUGGAAAUGAGAAACAGCUGAGCAGAGCGGGCGGCUUUGAAGAUGGGUGGGCAAGGGGCUUUUCACCUUUUGGUUUCCCAAGUGCCCGUAGAAUUUGAAAACAGGCUGGAGUGGAUUCGGUAGUGACUUGCGAGCGAUAACUUUUCUUUUGUUCACUGUACUUUCUAUAUAUACUUAUGUUUUGUUUAUUAAUGUAAAAAGCAAUAAAUUAUUUACCUAGUUACUAUUAUUUGUGUAAUUUAAUCCAGC
rnacentral:misc_RNA from 1 species